CUUGGUCAUUUAGAGGAAGUAAAAGUCGUAACAAGGUUUCCGUAGGUGAACCUGCGGAAGGAUCAUUACUGAGAAGCGCUCUGCGCACCUCUCCAACCUUUGCGUACCGAAUCUUGUAUCUUGCGGGCGGGCGACCGCCCGCGAGUUUAACGAACCCGUUUGAAUMGUCUGAUUUUUCUACAAAAAAACAACUUUCAACAAUGGAUCUCUUGGCUCCGGCAUCGAUGAAGAACGCAGCGAAAUGCGAUAGCUAGUGUGAAUUGCAGAUUUUAGUGAAUCAUCGAGUCUUUGAACGCACAUUGCGCCCUUUGGUAUUCCUCAGGGCAUGCCUAUUCGAGCGUCGUUUCAACUCUCAAGCUUGCUUGGUGAUGAGGGCUGCCUCCGGCACCCUUGAAACGCAUCGGCGGUGGCACGUAGCCCGAACGCAGCAGCAAUGCAGUCUCGGAGCGUGCAGCCUGCCACAACUUGCCUUUGGCAUUUUAAGCUCGACCUCGAAUUAGGUAGGGAUACCCGCUGAACUUAAGCAUAUCAAUAAGCGGAGGA
rnacentral:rRNA from 1 species